GAUGAACGCUGGCGGCGUGCCUAAUACAUGCAAGUCGAACGAACGGACGAGAAGCGGGCUUCUCUGAUGGUAGCGGCGGACGGGAGAGUAACACGUGGAUAACCUACCUAUAAGACUGGGAUAACUUAGGGGAACCAAAGCUAAUAACGGAUAAUAUUUUGAACCGCGUGGUUCAAAAGUUAAAGACGGUCUUGCUGUAACUUAUAGAUGGAUCCGGGCUGCAUUAGCGAGUUGGUAAGGUAACGGCUUACGAAGGCAACGAUGCAUAGCCGACCUGCGAGGGUGAACCGCGACACGGUGAGAGAGACGCGGCCCCGAGUCCGAGGGGCGGCCCCGGCAGGGACUGGAGCGCGAUGGGGGAAAGCUUGACAGAGCAACGGCGGCUGAGUGCUGAAGCGCCUCGGAUCGUAAAACGGUGUUAGUGGGGAAGAACAUAUGCGUAAGUACCUGUGCUCAUCUUGACGGUACCUGCAGAAAAAGCCCCGGCUAACUACGUG
rnacentral:rRNA from 1 species